CAUUUAUAUUUAAUACUAAGGUUUAGUGAAUAAAAUCUAAAGUAUAUUAUUUUAAAUAUAUAACGCUGUCCGCCAUGUUGUUUUAUAAUACGCUUAAGGAAGCCAUUUUGAUUUACUAAAUGCGCAGUUGCGCGGCCCCGAUUGGGUCGGGUAUAUAAAGGGGCCAUGACGUCAGCCACGUAGCUCAAUAAUUUUUCGUCGUGGUGCAGUGCGGACGUCUGGAAUUGUGAAGUGUACUAGAAAAUUCUUUUGUGCCUGGUCUGAUUCAGUCCCAUUGCGUUUCGCGUGGGUCUGGAUCCGACGGCCGCCAUCUUGGCUGCCGCUGGGGCGUGGUCGCAGCUAACUACGAAAUGGGUUUGUAACGGUAUCAUGCAUUUAAUUAGUUAAUUUAUUUUAAAUUGUUGAUGAAUAUUUCAGUUUUCUAUUGUGAAAUAGUCUAUUGGAAUCAAAGUUUUAUUCAUAUUGAAUAUUAAAUUGUAACAUAUGUUUAAGUAUGAUGAAUAAAAAAUAUUUUUGAAGUAUUAAUGUCUUGGAUUUUAUUUCAAAUCAUAUAUUGUUGUUAUUGGAAUUUCACCCGCCAUGUAUUAUUCCAUGAGUCAUCACCGACUUGAAGAACGAGGUAGCAGUCGUGAAGGUGACGAAAUAGCAGUAUGAGAGAGCACUACCACGUGACACUGCAGUGCGGUCUCGUGAGGCUGCUUUAACGGCAUGGCUUGCGGCCCUGCAUAGAAAUAUCGACGCGAGCAUUUUACAUCUCUGCCGGUAUCAACUAUCAGCCCGCUUUAGGUAAAAGUUAGGAGAUUGCGCAAUGAUUUCAUCAGUUAUGGAACGAAUGUCAUGUACCCGUUCGCGGGCAUUUUCCAUGUGUAUUAUUUCCGAGUCUCAGAAAGGCAGGGUCGUGGAGUUGGCAACGUGCUCGCUCUACCCACGCUAUCCGGCCAACAUUGAUGAAUGGCGUUUAUGAGGCAAGCCGAAAUUAGCAACAUUAAAUUGCUCUGGCCAAGAUUGUUUUUAGUGUCGGUGAGUCCGAGCCUAACAAACUAGACAUGUUAAGAUGUAUUGUGACAAUGUAUAAUAUUUAUUAUUUGAUAAAUUUGAUUCGAAUUGAAUUUAAACAGGCCUUGUCAAUUGUAUAAGUUAACAAAAGUAUUUCGAGGAUUUAAGUUUUCCUAAAGUAUCAUUUAGCGCCAUGGAAAUGACAUUAUGUACUAAUCAAUCGCAAAGCAUAUGGAACCUGGAACAAAUGCACUAAUUUUAUUUUUAAAUAAAUUUGUAAUUAUUAUUGUAUAUGAUGAACUAUUGGCCGAGUAUCUUAGUGAAAGCCAAAUAAUUUUGAAACUAGAUGUAUGUGAAAUAAAAGUAGGUAAAACAUUCAUAUGAGGUAGAAAUAUUGGUAAGUUUAGACACCUGCUAGAGUUAUUGUGUUAUAAUACAAGUAAUAAAUAUUUGUAUCAACUCCACAGCUUAUCGCGUGCUUGCGGGAUGAACGUUCAAGAAUAUACAUUGAUAGAUAAUCCUAUAUAAAUAAAUAUAUUCCGGAACGAUGCUAGCAUCCCAUUUUGAAAUUUAUUCAUAAAAAUCUUAGGGCUACACAAAAACAGACAAAGCGAAGACGUGACUUUGAAACUGUAUCUACAUUAGAAUGAUAAACACGGGUGAAUAAAAAUCAAGAUACUAAAUAGGUAAGUGGUAAAAUCCCUCAACAGGGAGAACUCCACGUCGUCAAAUUCUACAGAACUGGUUUACUAUCAUACUUCCUGAAACUUGCUAAUGAUGGAAUACUUGGUAACAUACUUCAUUAUGAAGAUUUAUCAUAUUAUGAAUCUCCUUGACGGGACAACCGUCUUCGUUGUGUUAAAAAAUAUGUCCAGGUCAUAAGAUCCUCCAUUGAAGACUUUGCAGUGGAGGAAGAACACAAUUCUCAUACUUAAGGGUGGCCGUUGGCAGACUGAAAAGUGACCCGAGCUAAUCACCUGACACCAUUGUAGUGAAUGCAUCUUAGCAACGGAAAAUUAAAGAUACAAUUGAACCUGAUCCACGCCUAAGCUUGGAUCGCUUGUACGGUAACAUAGCUGAUUAGCAGUUAAUAACAUUAUAUUACAAUUUAAUCAGACAAUUGAAGAAUGAAAUUGUAGGUAUUUAAGUCUGUUCUAUUUUAUAAUUUUUUAGCCCAGGUUCCAUUAGACAUACUUAUAUAUAUUAUAAUUUUUUAUUGACCCAAGCCUGACUGGCCAGCGGACUGAUAGUUGGAUUUCUCAAAAUUGUCAUUCUUAAAAUUCUUCUGCUACACCUACUUGACUAGAUCCAGUUAUUAAAUCGACUGCUAAGCUUUUCCGUGGAAUGAUUGGACUCAUCAAGGAAUUAUAAUAACCGGUAUACAAUAGGAAUCCUACUUAUUCAACAGAUAAGUGUAUAUUCUCUAAAUCUUCGCAUGAUUGGAAAGUUGAAAUUAUUAUUAUUUCACGAAUUUUUGAGCGGAAAUGUCCUUGUUUGGUGGACAUAGCUAAAUAUUUUUAUGGUUAACAAUAUAAUGGAAGUAAUGAAAUUGUGUAUAGAGUUAUAAAACGUAUAAAGAAUGAUUUUGGAAUUAAGUGAAUCUAGUAAAUACAAUUAAGUAAAAUAUUCAAAGGUAAGUGGCCUAAACAAGAGUUGCUACCACCAGCGAGUAUGUUAUAUAUUAGAAUGGUAUGCCUUUAUGGCAGGUGGUAAUAAGCUUAUUUUCAGAUAUCAUAAAUGUAAAGUUAUAGCGAACCCAACUAUACACAGCAUAGUCUUAAGCGAUUUACUUGAACGAUAUCUACCUACAAUAAAGUUUAUCAAAAACAUAACCUCUUAAUAUUGUAACACCGAGGAUGGAAAUAUAAGCUUCUAUGUGAAUGUUGUCAAGGAAGUGAUGAAAGGUACGAGAAUGCUUGCAUGUUGCUUUUAUACAAUUAAACAUUGAGAUUGAUCUCUAUUAGCUUUGAACAUUUUGUAUAUAGUUUUUUUUUUGGAAUACUCAAAAUGAUAGGACACGAUGUAAUGCUAUUUAGAAAGGUCUAGAAUACAACCAAUUCGCCACCUGUAGUUGAAGAAAGGCUACGCAUACGCUACAUCUUGAAAACUAUAUUACAUGCUUGGGCUUUAUAAUAAACCAGGAAAGUUGUCUGACCGAAAAGAAUAUGUAUGAUAAUUUCUGGAUUAAAAUGUAUUUUCCAAAUUGCCGUGUGACGUGGCGACCUACCGAUGAAAUAUAGUUUUGCAGUCUGAAUACAGGAAUGCAGAACAUUUCCAAAGGGAUGUUUUAAGACAAAACUGUAUGGUAUGAGUAAUUUAUGUUUUCCCUUUAAUUUUACAAUUGAACAGUAUGAUCGAAAAACUGAAAAGUUUCUGCUAUCUUCUAAGAGAAAUGUGCCUAUGCUGAUUGACUAUGCAAAAGGUUAUAGUAUAAAGUGCUUAUUGAAAGAAAAGUUAUUUCGAGUCCAUUGUAAAUGGAAGUACACUUAAACAAAAUUAUACAAAAGGGUAACGAUUGUUUAGAAAGCCUAAAAUGCUGUAAAAGAGAGAAUAAUUAAAUAGAUCAUGAAUAACUUUUUUUGGUGUUCAACUACAUGAUCAAGGUGCUAAAUUAGUUUGGUACCUACUAACACUAGUUAUAUCAAGAAAAAUUUGUACAAGAAAACUAAACAAUGGCAAAGCAAAUUAUGACAACCAGUUACAUGAAAAUACUUUUAAGCAUAUGCUAAAUUAUGGCAUGAAAAUUUGUUACAAUGUUAUUAUACAAAGGAUAUCAAUUACGGAUGUUUACAACUUGAGAUGAAUUGAUUGAUUUUUAUCAAAUUCGAUAAAAGCAGUGCGCAAAGCAAUGAAUCAUUACGCUUGAGCCCCCAGCUAUCUACAAUUUUAUGGUCUCGUUUGAACUCUCAAAUUUGCAACUGGUGUGAAUGAUCUAAUUCUACUCUUAAAUUACAACAUAGAUACAGUUAUAUAGGUAUAUUCCAGCUUUUCCAACAAGGCAAGUUUUGUUUACCUGGGAGUAUUUUUUUUGUAUACUCGUAACAUUUGAAUAAAAUUACAUAAACUAUGUAAAUUUA